GACGAACGCUGGCGGCGUGCUUAACACAUGCAAGUCGAACGGAAAGGCCCUGCUUUUGUGGGGUGCUCGAGUGGCGAACGGGUGAGUAACACGUGAGUAACCUGCCCUUGACUUUGGGAUAACUUCAGGAAACUGGGGCUAAUACAGGAUAGGAGCUCCUGCUGCAUGGUGGGGGUUGGAAAGUUUCGGCGGUUGGGGAUGGACUCGCGGCCUAUCAGCUUGUUGGUGGGGUAGUGGCUUACCAAGGCUUUGACGGGUAGCCGGCCUGAGAGGGUGACCGGCCACAUUGGGACUGAGAUACGGCCCAGACUCCUACGGGAGGCAGCAGUGGGGAAUAUUGCACAAUGGGCGGAAGCCUGAUGCAGCAACGCCGCGUGCGGGAUGACGGCCUUCGGGUUGUAAACCGCUUUCGCCUGUGACGAAGCGUGAGUGACGGUAAUGGGUAAAGAAGCACCGGCUAACUACGUG
rnacentral:rRNA from 1 species